UACGAAGGGGGCUAGCGUUGUUCGGAAUUACUGGGCGUAAAGCGCGCGUAGGCGGACAUCUAAGUCAGGGGUGAAAUGCCGGGGCUUAACCUCGGAACUGCCUUUGAUACUGGAAGUCUGGAGUUCGGGAGAGGUGAGUGGAAUUCCGAGUGUAGAGGUGAAAUUCGUAGAUAUUCGGAGGAACACCAGAAGCGAAGGCGGCUCACUGGCCCGAUACUGACGCUGAGGCGCGAAAGCGUGGGGAGCAGACAGG
rnacentral:rRNA from 1 species